UACAGAGGUGGCAAGCGUUGUUCGGAAUUACUGGGCGUAAAGGGCGCGUAGGCGUCCUUCUAAGUCAGACGUGAAAUCCCCCGGCUUAACCUGGGAACUGCGUCUGAUACUGGGAGGCUAGAGUGCGGGAGAGGGAUGCGGAAUUCCAGGUGUAGCGGUGAAAUGCGUAGAUAUCUGGAGGAAUACCAGUGGCGAAGGCGGCAUCCUGGCCAUGUCCUGACGCUCAGGGGCGAAAGCGUGGGGAGCAAACCGG
rnacentral:rRNA from 1 species